AUUACCGAUGAAUGUCGUCCAACAACUACCCAGUUGUACCUUGUGAACCAUACCAAACUAUUCAGGGGUCGGCUAGUCCGUUAAAUGGUCGGCGGACGCGAGAGAUCGCGGCCGCUCGACCGGCCCCGCAUGCGUUUUGUUUUUACAAACAUGUGUGUUAAUGUCUGAACCAACGCCGCGUCCGGCCUAUGGUCGGUCGCAGCGGAUAGAGCAAAAAACGAGAUACAACUUUUGACGGUGGAUCUCUUGGCUCACGCAUCGAUGAAGAACGCAGCCAGCUGCGAUAAGUAGUGUGAAUUGCAGAAUUCAGUGAAUCAUCGAAUCUUUGAACGCAAAUGGCGCUCUUGGGUUCUCCCAGGAGCAUGUCUGUCUGAGUGUCGGAUAUCAUCCAACGCACGCAAGCGUGCGGAAUUGAGGCGUCACAGUCCGUACUGCAUGGACCGUGUCCCUUGAAAGUCAGAGAGACUCGCCGCGUCGCGGGAAGAUUCCCGUGCACACUAGCGGAGGCUAAAACACAUUUUGCCCUUCGCGUGCCGGGUGUCGCCGUGUGCGGUGGUCGUAAAAGGGCGAACACAAUUAUCUUGACCUCAGAUCAGGCAAGGCUACCCCGCUGAAUUAAGCAUAUUAAUAA
rnacentral:rRNA from 1 species